rnacentral:antisense_RNA from 1 species
GCAGGCCUGUCCCUUUGCUUUCUUGUUAAAACUGCGCACCGUCUGAGGCCAAUUCGAGCCUACUGGAUCCCUGGUUCCAACCCAGUAGGAUCACAGAAGCAGGGCCAUCUGCAGGAGAAAAGGUUGUUCUUUUCUACCAAAUUUUCCUGCCAUCAAAUGCUCAUCAAGUGACAAUAGAAAAAGCACCAUAGUUCUCAAGCAUCAGAUUGGGAGAAGAGUCUGCUCUCAAGAGCAUCAACUAUGUAGAAAGGCGACCAACCUAUGUUAUAUCUGCCUUAGUGCAUGGGCUGCUGGUCAAUGCUAAUAGCUGGCUCUCAGGGAAAAAAGAAAAACCAUCUGUGGCAUCUGCCAAUUUCUGUGGUGUAAAUACUCUGAGCUCUGCCAAUUUCAAGCUAUCCAUUUGACAUUGCUGGACCCAAAGUUGGCAAGUGAUGUGCACAAUUGCCUUUUGCAAGAAA